AAUAGCCAUAUAGGGUUUAAGCAAAAGGGCUUUCAAUCUCUGCAAUUGUUCAGCUGGAAUUGUUAAUUGAAUCGAAGAGGUGAGCUCUUGGAUUGAUCGGAGGAAAAUACAUAACAAAGAGAGAUGUCCCUUGCUAAUUUAAAACUAAACCAACAAAAUUUCACUUUCAUUCCAACAUGAGGUUAAGGAUGUGGUUUUCUAUUUUUAGGAUGUUAAAUUUUUAUGAUUCGUUAUUUUAAAUGUUUAUAUGCACUUAUAUAUUGAGACUUAUAUAUUGAGAUCAUCAUAGACACUCUCUUAACGAAGUAAAAGCAUGUGGCUUUGACUCA